GUUACAUGUGUAAUUGAUUAAUUAAGGAACGAAAAUCACUGCUGAGACUAAGGGAAACAUCCACAGCUUCAGCAGGCAUCAAAGUGAAAUAGCAGCUCCUCCUGGGCAAAGCAGAUGAGACUGUUUCAGGACAAAACAGAGCUCCUCAUACUGAGACAUGAACUGGCUCCAAGGACCACACAGUGCCACGGCCUUGGCUCCUGGAGAACAACUGUUCCAAGGUGUUCUCAACACUGGCACCUCUCCCUGCUGCACAGACCAAAAUCCAAAGGAAGAAUUCAAGGAAGAGACCAAGGGAAGAAAAUCUCUGUGGUUUAGAAGUCUGUUCAGUGGGUUUCUGGAUGAAAACAGGGUGUACUUUUUCAAAGUUUGUAUUUGUAAGAUAAAAGUGGGCAUCCUGAUGACCAAAAUCAGGCAGUGUGGGCCCUUAAUUCCUCUGGCCCCUUGCAAAUUCACACUGAUCCAACAACAAAGGGAGUGCUGGGAGCUGCUCCAAGCAAAGCUCUGAUUCAAGCUACUAUGCACCAAACCACAGCAAACACUCCAGUGAUUUCAUCUGCUGUGAAAAGAAAGCCCUAAACAUCAGUAAAUGCACCAGAAAUUAGCUUUCCCUGGCAGUAAGGUUUUGUGGGUUUAUUUAUAGCCUAUUAGUGCUCAUGGAAGGCAAGGAACAAUAAUCUAAACCAGAGUCAGCAGUUCUGCUGCUAGUUAGAAAAGAUGCCAUUUUAACAACUCCGUUUGCUCCUGGCCCAAAACCCCUUUGCCUUUUCCUGCUCUCCUGCCUGUUGACCCUCACACACCUCACACCAUUUUCAUAUGGGCUAAGGGCUCCAGGCAUUUGCAUCACUGCUGAGCAAUUUUAACCACAACACAGAGAGGACAGCGCUGCUGAGAAGGCCAGAAGGUGAUUGUUCUCUUCCAGAAAUAGUCUGGUAGAAGUAACUUUUAUUUUUUUCUUUCCCUUUUGGAUCCAACUUUGCCUUGCAAAACCUUCAACGUUUUAGGUGAAAAGGGUUCUCUUUCCAUGAAAAAGCCUAGUCUGUUAAAAGAGUCUCUUGAGAGAGAAGAGACAGACUCUAAGAGAUAUUCUCUGGGUUGUGACACAGUAUUAUCAGAACCCCACAUCCAGCCCCUACCUAAAGAACUCCCUUUCUCCAUGCAGCAGCCUCCAGCUCAUUCCUUGGUUUUCCUGUGAGAGAGCAGGAGGAUGUAGGGAAGCUAUAAAUAAAACUGCAACAGGCAGCA
rnacentral:lncRNA from 1 species